rnacentral:rRNA from 1 species
UGGAGCCAUCCUUGAAAUACCACCCUGGUUCAUUUGAGGUUCUAACCUUGGCCCGUUAUCCGGGUCGGGGACAGUGCAUGGUAGGCAGUUUGACUGGGGCGGUCUCCUCCUAAAGUGUAACGGAGGAGUUCGAAGGUACGCUAGAUACGGUCGGACAUCGUGUUGAUAGUGCAAUGGCAUAAGCGUGCUUAACUGCGAGACUGACAAGUCGAGCAGGUACGAAAGUAGGACAUAGUGAUCCGGUGGUUCUGUAUGGAAGGGCCAUCGCUCAACGGAUAAAAGGUACUCUGGGGAUAACAGGCUGAUUCCUCCCAAGAGUUCAUAUCGACGGGGGAGUUUGGCACCUCGAUGUCGGCUCAUCACAUCCUGGGGCUGUAGCCGGUCCCAAGGGUAUGGCUGUUCGCCAUUUAAAGUGGUACGUGAGCUGGGUUUAAAACGUCGUGAGACAGUUUGGUCCCUAUCUGCCGUGGGCGUUGGAAAUUUGAAGGGGGCUGCUCCUAGUACGAGAGGACCGGAGUGGACGAACCUCUGGUGUACCGGUUGUCACGCCAGUGGCAUUGCCGGGUAGCUAAGUUCGGAAGAGAUAACCGCUGAAAGCAUCUAAGCGGGAAACUUGCCUUGAGAUGAGAUUUCCCAGAGCCUUGAGCUCUUUGAAGGGUCGUUCGAGACCAGGACGUUGAUAGGCUGGGUGUGGAAGUGCAGUAAUGCAUUAAGCUAACCAGUACUAAUUGCCCGUACGGCUUGUCCCUAUAACCUUAGCAGGU